rnacentral:rRNA from 1 species
GAGUUUGAUCAUGGCUCAGGUUGAACGCUGGCGGCAUGCCUUACACAUGCAAGUCGAACGGCAGCACGGGAGCUUGCUCCUGGUGGCGAGUGGCGAACGGGUGAGUAAUGCAUCGGAACGUAUCCUGGAGUGGGGGAUAACGUAGCGAAAGUUACGCUAAUACCGCAUAUUCUGUGAGCAGGAAAGCGGGGGACCUUCGGGCCUCGCGCUCUUGGAGCGGCCGAUGUCGGAUUAGCUAGUUGGUGAGGUAAAGGCUCACCAAGGCGACGAUCCGUAGCAGGUCUGAGAGGAUGAUCUGCCACACUGGAACUGAGACACGGUCCAGACUCCUACGGGAGGCAGCAGUGGGGAAUUUUGGACAAUGGGGGCAACCCUGAUCCAGCCAUGCCGCGUGAGUGAAGAAGGCC